rnacentral:rRNA from 1 species
AUACGAAGGGGGCUAGCGUUGUUCGGAAUUACUGGGCGUAAAGCGCGCGUAGGCGGAUUGGUCAGUUAGGGGUGAAAUCCCAGGGCUUAACCCUGGAACUGCCUCUAAUACUGCCAGUCUUGAGUUCGGGAGAGGCGAGUGGAAUUCCUAGUGUAGAGGUGAAAUUCGUAGAUAUUAGGAAGAACACCAGUGGCGAAGGCGGCUCACUGGCCCGAUACUGACGCUGAGGCGCGAAAGCGUGGGGAGCAAACAGGAUUAGAUACCCCAGUAGUCC